CGCGGGGUGGAGCAGCCCGGUAGCUCGUCAGGCUCAUAACCUGAAGGUCGUCAGUUCAAAUCUGGCCCCCGCAACCA
rnacentral:tRNA from 96 species